AAAGAGCUUCAAUUCUUUCUGGCUUUUUUAGAAAGAAAGAAGAGACUAGGAAGUCAGGGCUUUUCAAAAACCUAAAUCCUCUUUCUACACUUUGCUGUGCUUUAUAUGU
rnacentral:sRNA from 1 species